GCUCCUAUGGUCUAGUUGGUUAGGACGUUGGUCUUAUGUACCGAAUAUCGUGGGUUCGAGCCCCACUAGGAGCAC
rnacentral:tRNA from 1 species